rnacentral:lncRNA from 1 species
CCUCUCAGCCAUGUGUUUAUGUGACAGGCAUUCUUGGUCAUUGCAUUGUCCUUCUCUGCCACUGCAGGAAUACCUGCAAAUACUACUUGUAUGCCUGCUCUGUCAACUAAACUCUCCAGCCCCCUAAAAUCAUUUUUUAUAGCCCUUAGGCUUCUGACAGCGACCUCAUCACUGCCAGCCUGAACAAAAAAUAACAGAUAGUUAUCAGAGGGGUGGAGAGUAUAUGAGAAUAUACACCAAGAAUAUAUGAGAGUAUACAACAAGAAAUUUGAUCCUUUGCUUACAUCCCCCGUAGCAACGACUGUGCUUUGUCUUCUCCACAGCAACACAGUGCUCCCCUGACACCCCACAGUCAAGAUUAGGGCCCACACACGGCACCAAAGGCACACACUUCUGCCACUUGAGCUCAAGCUACCUUUACUAGAAAUGCAAGUAGGAAGCAGGUUGGGACAGUGAGCGGGAGGCACAGUAGGACGGAGCUACGAUCCUAUAGACACACUGCCCAGGGCUUGCGUUGGCUCCUGCCACCCAAAUCAGCCCCCGUCCUGUGGCUGAUUAUGCAGAAAGCACUGCUUUACAUAGUAUGUACUUAUAUAGGGUGCGUACAGUGAAUCUGGUUGGGUUCCUUUCCUAGCAAAUCAGUAUUUUAGGAAAUAGCUGGUGGGUUUCGGGGUCUUAGCUCAAGGCAACCUAGAAGAAAGCCCAGUUGUCAAGCCUGCCAGAUCAGGCCCAGAAACCAGGAAACACCAGAGUAACCAAGUCUUAAAGACACAUCUGGACAAACAGCUGGGACUGCCGUGUCCACUCACAGCAUCCAGAGGUCACCGGUGACAUAAGGAGGUCCCAAUGGAGCCCAAAAUACCCAACCAGAGCUGCUCAGUCUCUCAUAGCUGGGGGCAGUUUGUGACCCUCAGUAUUGUCCAGGUUGACCUGCAGCUGCUCAGUGCCUCCAGCAAGCUUGCAGGCUCACCACCUUGGCGUACUGGUAACGUGCAGAAUCAAAGUCCACAACCC